UAACACGUGGGGAACCUGCCCCAUAGUCUGGGAUACCACUUGGAAACAGGUGCUAAUACCGGAUAAGAAAGCAGAUCGCAUUAUCAGCUUUUAAAAGGCGGCGUAAGCUGUCGCUAUGGGAUGGCCCCGCGGUGCAUUAGCUAGUUGGUAAGGUAAAGGCUUACCAAGGCGAUGAUGCAUAGCCGAGUUGAGAGACUGAUCGGCCACAUUGGGACUGAGACACGGCCCAAACUCCUACGGGAGGCAGCAGCC
rnacentral:rRNA from 1 species